UAUUUCAAAGUAUUUAUAUGAAACUUAAAUUUUUAAAAUAUAAAUUUGAAUAUAAUAUUAAAUUUUAAAUUUAAAAGUGAAAUUUAAAUUAAAGAAAUUUUAUAUUACUAUUUAAAGUUUAAAUUCAAUGAUCAUAUUAUCAAAUCAUUUGAAAUUUUCCUUAUAUGAAAUGCCAAAUUAUGAAAGAAAAGAUAGGGAGAGAAAAAGGAAACAAAGAAAAAAUAAAAAUUUUAAAAAUAUAGUAGAUGUAAAAUGACUAAAUUGCCCAUGUAUUAAAAGACAAAAAUAUUAUUUUUUGAGGUAUCUAGUAACCGGUACCUCUUCCAAAGUGAUCUGCUAUUGCAAGUCGCAAUUUAAAAAAAACUAAAUCUGAGCCGUUGAAUACGCGUGAAUGAACGGUAACAAAAAAAAAAAAAGAAGUAUAGAAGCAUUACUCCUAUUUAUUUGUGCUUGACAGGAAUUUGUGGAAGCAGAAAAUGCUGCCACAUAUAUGCUAGAAGAUGUCAAUUAAUAUAUUUAUAUGGACAAAAUCAUCAUAAAAUUAUUUAUAUAAUUAAGUAAUUAAAUAAUAUUAAAAUUUCAAAUCAAACAACCUCACGUACUAAAACUAUUUCACAUUCUCAUUCCCUACAAAUCCCACAAACUCAAAUCAAUCGCCCACACCCAAUCCAUGACAACAACAUAACAAAUUGCCCUAAGAUCUCGGUUCUCGAUCAAUCCAAGUACCAAAUC
rnacentral:lncRNA from 1 species